rnacentral:rRNA from 1 species
GCCAUGCUAGUUGUACGAGUUUGUACUCGUAGUAGAUAGCUCAGUAACACGUGGCCAAACUACCCUAUGGAUCCGGAUAACCUCGGGAAACUGAGGCUAAUCCGGAAUACGACUCUCAGCCUGGAAGUGGCGAGAGUCAGAAACGCUCCGGCGCCAUAGGAUGUGGCUGCGGCCGAUUAGGUAGACGGUGGGGUAACGGCCCACCGUGCCUAUAAUCGGUACGGGUUGUGAGAGCAAGAGCCCGGAGACGGUAUCUGAGACAAGAUACCGGGCCCUACGGGGCGCAGCAGGCGCGAAACCUUUACACUGCACGAAAGUGCGAUAAGGGGACUCCAAGUGCGAGGGCAUAUAGUCCUCGCUUUUCACCACCGUAAGGAGGUGGUAGAAUAAGUGCUGGGCAAGACCGGUGCCAGCCGCCGCGGUAAUACCGGCAGCACGAGUGAUGACCGCUCUUAUUGGGCCUAAAGCGUCCGUAGCUGGCCACGCAAGUCUAUCGGGAAAUCCGCGCGCUCAACGCGCGGGCGUCCGGUGGAAACUGCGUGGCUUGGGACCGGAAGAUCCAGAGGGUACGUCUGGGGUAGGAGUGAAAUCCCGUAAUCCUGGACGGACCACCGGUGGCGAAAGCGCUCUGGAAAGACGGAUCCGACGGUGAGGGACGAAAGCUCGGGUCACGAACCGGAUUAGAUACCCGGGUAGUCCGAGCUGUAAACGAUGUCUGCUAGGUAUGCCACAGGCUACGAGCCUGUGGUGUGCCGUAGGGAAGCCGUGAAGCAGACCGCCUGGGAAGUACGUCCGCAAGGAUGAAACUUAA